GACGAACGCUGGCGGCGUGCUUAACACAUGCAAGUCGAACGGAAAGGCCCUGCUUUUGUGGGGUGCUCGAGUGGCGAACGGGUGAGUAACACGUGAGUAACCUGCCCUUGACUUUGGGGUAACUUCAGGAAACUGGGGCUAAUACCGGAUAGGAGCUCCUGCUGCAGGGUGGGGGUUGGAAAGUUUGGGCGGUUGGGGAUGGACUGGCGGCUUAUCAGCUUGUUGGUGGGGUGGUGGCUUACCAAGGCUUUGACGGGUGGCCGGCCUGGGAGGGUGACCGGCCACAUUGGGACUGAGAUACGGCCCAGACUCGUACGGGAGGCAGCAGUGGGGAAUAUUGCACAAUGGGCGGAAGCCUGAUGCAGCAACGCCGCGUGCGGGAUGACGGCCUUCGGGUUGUAAACCGCUUUCGCCUGUGACGAAGCGUGAGUGACGGUAAUGGGUAAAGAAGCACCGGCUAACUACGUG
rnacentral:rRNA from 1 species